rnacentral:tRNA from 1 species
UCUCUGAUGGUCCAGUGGUUAGGACUUUGCACUUCCACUGCAGGGGGCCUGGGUUUGAUCCCUGAUAGGGAA